rnacentral:rRNA from 1 species
AACAGGAUUAGAUACCCUGGUAGUCCACGCCCUAAACGAUGAGUACUAAGUGUUGCCGAUAGGCAGUGCUGAAGUUAACGCAUUAAGUACUCCGCCUGAGUAGUACGUACGCAAGUAUGAAACUUAAAGGAAUUGACGGGAGCCCGCACAAGCGGUGGAGCAUGUUGUUUAAUUCGAGGAUACGCGAAGAACCUUACCAGGUCUUGACAUAGUAUGCGAAGUUAUAGAGAUAUAAUGGAGGAUAGCAUAUAUACAGGUGGUGCAUGGUUGUCGUCAGCUCGUGUCGUGAGAUGUUGGGUUAAGUCCCGCAACGAGCGCAACCCUUAUUUUUAGUUACCAGCAGUAAGAUGGGGACUCUAGAAAGACUGCCAUUGAUAAAAUGGAGGAAGGUGGGGAUGACGUCAAAUCAUCAUGCCCUUUAUGACCUGGGCUACAAACGUGCUACAAUGGCCGAAACAAAGAGAAGCGAAGUUGUGAAAUGGAGCGAAUCUCAAAAAAGCAGUCUCAGUUCGGAUUGAAGUCUGCAACUCGACUUCAUGAAGUUGGAAUCGCUAGUAAUCGCGAAUCAGAAUGUCGCGGUGAAUACGUUCUCGGGCUUUGUACACACCGCCCGUCAAACCAUGAGAGUUUGUAAUACCCGAAGCCGGUGGCCUAACAGUAAUGAGGGAGCCGUCUAAGUAGGACAGAUGAUUGGGGUUAAGUCGUAACAAGGUAACC